rnacentral:tRNA from 1 species
GGCCCCGUAGCUCAGCUGGUAGAGCACUCGCGGUGCUAAGGCGAGGGUGGUAACCAGGUAGGUGUUCGAAUCCAGCCGGGGCCA